AUACGUAGGUGCCAAGCGUUGUCCGGAAUUAUUUGGGCGUAAAGCGCGCGUAGGUGGUCUCUUAAGUCUGAUGUGAAAGCCCCCGGCUCAACCGGGGAGGGUCAUUGGAAACUGGGAGACUUGAGUGCAGGAGAGAAGAGUGGAAUUCCACGUGUAGCGGUGAAAUGCGUAGAGAUGUGGAGGAACACCAGUGGCGAAGGCGACUCUUUGGCCUGUAGCUGACACUGAGGCGCGAAAGCGUGGGGAGCAAACAGGAUUAGAUACC
rnacentral:rRNA from 1 species